rnacentral:ribozyme from 1 species
AAGAAAAAGAAAAGGCUAGGAAAACGCCGGAAAACACAAAACUUUGUUUUUUGGGGAAUUUCUAUCUUUUUUUUUCUCUUUUUUUUUUUUUUUUUUUU